rnacentral:lncRNA from 1 species
CCUCGGACACGCCUGGAGCUGAGAGCUCUUUGUUUUUUUGGGUUUUUUUCUUUUUAUGGUAUCGCUAUAACAGCUUUUCUUGGUCUUUUAACAGCUCAUUCAGAAGGGGAAGGACAGGGAAUUAAAAGGCUUUUUUUCAUUACCUUUUCUAGUUAGUCUGAUUUUUCCAGUGGGGUUUGUUCCCGCUGACAGCAACGAAACCCCCGUUUUGUGUCUGAGGGCAGCAUCUCCAAAACAGUAAGAAAGAAGUAUUCAUCUGUGGGCUGAAAGAUGCCUGCUCUAAAAAUAUAGAAUAUGGCUCCAGAUCUCUGUUCUGAGAACAGCUGGUCACGUUCAAAGUGAAUGCCUAAAGAAAAUAGCAAAUUUGAGAAGAAAUGUGGAUUCCUGAAUUUUGGCAAGUGAAAGGCUGGCCAGAGUUUCAGGAGGAGCUCUGGAUUUAGUUGUUACUGAUCGGCAGCCUGGAGAGCUGCGUGAUGGUCCCGAUGAUGCAUUGUGCGAGGAGUUUGUAUUCGCUGGCUCGCGGUGCUCCUGCUGCCCUGUAGCCACCGCCUCCGGGGCCAGAUUCUCACCUCGGUGUCCUGAACCACCUCUCCCCGGAGCCGACAUGGCUACACCAGGUUACGCCGGCUGAGGGUAUGAUCUUGCCUGCAAACUGCACCAGCCAUUUAAGCCAAGAAAUCACCAGUGUUGUUUCCGACUGGGUGGUCAAAAUGUGGGGUGUAAGACAGCCAAAGUGCCCCAGGGACUGGACUUUUCCUGACUUCACCACCAUCAGGCAUCCUGGAAGAAGAAGUCGUUUGGCUCAGUGGUGGGCAGGAUUAUUGGGGCUGAGCAUCAGUCCAGAAGAAGGUGAGCAUCAGUCCAGAAGAAGCGCCUCAGGAGGUCAGACUGAAGAGCUAUGA